rnacentral:rRNA from 1 species
AUUGAACGCUGGCGGCAUGCUUUACACAUGCAAGUCGAACGGUAACAGGGUGCUUGCACCGCUGACGAGUGGCGAACGGGUGAGUAAUACAUCGGAAUGUACCCAGUAAUGGGGGAUAACGCUUCGAAAGGAGUGCUAAUACCGCAUACGCCCUGAGGGGGAAAGUGGGGGACCGCAAGGCCUCACGUUAUUGGAGCAGCCGAUGGCUGAUUAGCUAGUUGGUGAGGUAAAGGCUCACCAAGGCGACGAUCAGUAGCGGGUCUUAGAGGACGGUCCGCCACACUGGAACUGAGACACGGUCCAGAGUCCUACGGGAGGCAGCAGUGGGGAAUCUUGGACAAUGGGCGAAAGCCUGAUCCAGCAAUGCCGCGUGCGUGAAGAAGGCCUUCGGGUUGUAAAGCGCUUUUGUCUGGGAGCAAAUCCUGGCUUCUAAUACAGGUCGGGGAUGAGAGUACCAGAAGAAUAAGGACCGGCUAACUACGUGCCAGCCGCCGCGGUAAGAC